rnacentral:rRNA from 1 species
GACGUAGGUCCCGAGCGUUGCCCGGAUUUACUGGGCGUAAAGCGUGCGCAGGCGGCCCGUUAAGACAGGUGUGAAAUCCCUGGGCUCAACCUAGGAAUUGCGCUUGUGACUGGCGGGCUCGAGUACGGUAGAGGGGGGUGGAAUUCCUGGUGUAGCAGUGAAAUGCGUAGAGAUCAGGAGGAACACCGAUGGCGAAGGCAGCCCCCUGGGCCUGUACUGACGCUCAUGCACGAAAGCGUGGGGAGCAAACAGG